rnacentral:rRNA from 1 species
AUUGAACGCUGGCGGCAGGCCUAACACAUGCAAGUCGAGCGGUAGCACAGAGAGCUUGCUCUCGGGUGACGAGCGGCGGACGGGUGAGUAAUGUCUGGGAAACUGCCCGAUGGAGGGGGAUAACUACUGGAAACGGUAGCUAAUACCGCAUAACGUCGCAAGACCAAAGAGGGGGACCUUCGGGCCUCUUGCCAUCGGAUGUGCCCAGAUGGGAUUAGCUAGUAGGUGGGGUAACGGCUCACCUAGGCGACGAUCCCUAGCUGGUCUGAGAGGAUGACAAGCCACACUGGAACGAAGACACGGUCCAGACUCCUACGGGAGGCAGCAGUGGGGAAUAUUGCACAAUGGGCGCAAGCCUGAUGCAGCCAUGCCGCGUGUAUGAAGAAGGCCUUCGGGUUGUAAAGUACUUUCAGCGGGGAGGAAGGUGUUGAGGUUAAUAACCUCAGCAAUUGACGUUACCCGCAGAAGAAGCACCGGCUAACUCCGUGCCAGCCGCCGCUGUAA